rnacentral:rRNA from 1 species
AUUGAACGCUGGCGGCAGGCUUAACACAUGCAAGUCGAACGGAACCUUCGGGUUUAGUGGCGAACGGGUGAGUAAUACCUAGGAAUCUGCCUAUUAGUGGGGGAUAACGGCUCGAAAGGGUCGCUAAUACCGCAUACGUCCUACGGGAGAAAGAGGGGGAUCUUCGGACCUCUUGCUAAUAGAUGAGCCUAGGCCGGAUUAGCUAGUUGGUAGGGUAAAGGCCUACCAAGGCGACGAUCCGUAGCUGGUCUGAGAGGAUGAUCAGCCACACUGGAACUGAGACACGGUCCAGACUCCUACGGGAGGCAGCAGUGGGGAAUAUUGGACAAUGGGCGAAAGCCUGAUCCAGCCAUGCCGCGUGUGUGAAGAAGGCC